UACGAAGGGGGCUAGCGUUGCUCGGAAUUACUGGGCGUAAAGCGCACGUAGGCGGCUUUCUAAGUCGGGGGUGAAAUCCUGGAGCUCAACUCCAGAACUGCCUUCGAUACUGGCGAUCUUGAGUCCGGAAGAGGUGAGUGGAACUCCUAGUGUAGAGGUGGAAUUCGUAGAUAUUAGGAAGAACACCAGUGGCGAAGGCGGCUCACUGGUCCGGUACUGACGCUGAGGUGCGAAAGCGUGGGGAGCAAACAGG
rnacentral:rRNA from 1 species